GUUUUGGUACUUUUUUUAAAGUAAGACUGUUGCGGUUAGAGAUGUAGUUUAUUUUCCGUUUUUACUGGUACCUCCAUGUUUCCUUGUAUUUUGUCUUUGUGGCACUUGUUUCUAAGUCAUGUUGGUUCCUGUGCUGUUUUGAUAGUCAUUCGUCUUUUGUGCCUUAUAGUUAGUUUUACCUCUCUUGUCCCAUUGCCUUUGAUUAGUUUCAGCUCUUCUUUUUUCACACGUUUCCACUACUCCGAUUUGUCCACAGUAUCUGUGUGUAUAUACGCCAGGUCUCCCUUGUCUUUUCAGUGUCUGUUAACCUGCUCUUGUCUUUAUCUGCAACUGAGUGUGUUUUGUGUCUUGGGAUUCAGUCUUGGAUGUGGUUUGGAUCUUGGCACUCCUCCUAAGAAUUGCUAUUUUUUUAGUUUGUGUGUCUGUGAGUCCUGCAGUCCUGGAUGAAUUUCCUGCUCCGUUUCACAUGCUGCAAACAGAUAAAAACAAAAGGGAGGGUAUAUACACUUACGAGCCACCUUAUGAGGUACAUUUGCUCAACUCCUUGUUAAUGCAAAUGUCUAAUGGGCCAGUCGCAUGGCAGCAACUCAAUACAUCUCAAUAUAUCAAUACUUAGACAUGCAGACAUGAUGAAGAUGAUCUCCUGAAGUUCAAACUGAGCAUCAGAAAUGAAAGGAAAGGGAAAAAAUAUCCAGUGAGCAGCAGUUCUUGAUGUCAGAAGUCAGAGGAAAAUGGCCAGACUGCCUUAGGCUGAUAAGAAGGUAACAGUAACUCAAAUAACCACUCGUUACAAACCUGAGAAUGCAGUCCCCUAACUGUUUUGCAUGUAGUAGAUUCAUUCUGUGCUUUUUCUCAGUGUUGAAAAAAAGCCUCUGAUUAAACCCUUACAUCAGUGUUCACAUUCAGAGAUUUUAAUUUGUUCAGGUUCUAUUUCAGGCUGCAAUUUAUCACCCGUGUUAUUAUUUUUCUGAUUUGCAUGUUUAAUCACGUGACACCAUUUAAGACUCAAGAGUUUAAAAAGCACAAUAAAGUUAAAAAAACAAACCUAAAAGUCUGGACCGUGAGCUGC
ensembl:lncRNA